CGCUGAGUAGAUCCUAGGAUUGUACUGAGCGUAUUGUAUUGAGCGGAUUGUACUCCCCUCGAUAUGAGGGUUCGUAGCAUUCAGCUGAGUUCUGCUCUCCAGGAUGCCCAUCUCUACGCGUGGGUUUGAGUUGCUUACUGCCUUUUUCGCAGUCGCUCUUACUUGCUGUCUUCUCUGAAGAAUGCGUUAUUGAGACUUUGUAUUCAGACGGGGUUGGCCAAGACUGAGUUUGUCCUAUGUCAGAUUAGGUUGGCCUCCCUGGUGGCAUUAGGAUGACUAUGUCCCCCUUCUAGUGACUGACCGGGGUUCCCUUCGGUUCCUUGGCCACAUUCCCUUAAAGGGACCUGGUUUCUGCGGAAGUUUUGGUCCCAGAAGCUUUUGAGCAGCCUUGGUAGGCUUUCUACGGAAGGCCUCUUUGAGGUUCAGCUUGGGCUGUUUUCUCUCGAAACUGCUGGACGUUUGUCUAGCCAUUUUGGCAUGCACUCUCCUCAAGCAUGGCGGCGUGGGUAUAUCGUUCCCCAUAUGCGUUCAACGCAGAGUUGAGUUCCCUUCGAAAGGGAACGUCUUGGGUUACUCAUGUAACCAUGAUUUCCUAAGAACAAGGAACGAGAAUCUCUGCGUUGCUUUGCCAUGCUUCGGGGCUGCCUGCUGAACAGUCCCUCAAGACGAUAAGAUACUGACUGAUUCUCUAGGCGCUCCUUUUAUACUUCCGGGUCGUGCUAUGAUGACGUCAUAGGCUGUCGCCGGCCAAUAGGAUUGGAGUGGUUUGAUUCCUUGGCUUUCAGACAUCGAUUCACGAUAUGCGGUCCCCAUAUGCGGUCAACACAGAGAUUCCCUGUUCUCAGGGAACCAUGGUUACAUGAGUAACCUGAGACGUUUUAUUAUUAACUAUUAAUUACUUAAUUAAUUUGUUUAUAUAUAUAUAUAUAUAUAUAUAUAUAUAUGUAUAUAAACACAAAUGUAUAUAAAUGGUUUUUUUUUCUGUUUUAUUUUAUAAUUUUUUAAAUCAGCAAUCAGUUUUUUAAAUCAGUUUUUUUUUUGUUUUUUUUGUUUUUUUUGUGCAUCAGACAGAAACAUGGAAAAUAUUUGUCGUCUGUGUAUCUAUGACUGGACUUAGCCCACAGAGAGAUAAGUGGGCGGAAAUCACAUUGACAGUUACACACUCCUCACCCUCAAACACCACCGAACAUUCAGAUGUGGCCAACAUGAAGCUACCUAUCGCUGCACUUGUUGCACUGAGUUGCAUCUAUUGGGAGGUCUCUGGACAGCUGGUGGAGGUGGUGGUCAGGCUUGGAGAUAAUGCAACCCUACACUGUGACUGCGAGUUUAUCAUGGCACAGGAAAUUCGAUGGGUCAAGAUCUGGUCUCCACAAAUCCAACAACCUCUGAUCAUCUCUGCAUACAAUAGCCUAUUAGAACCCAUUCCUCGAUUCUCUCUGUCCUGGAACAAUACUUCAAAAUCCUAUGACUUAGUGAUCGAGAACAUCACUGAAGCAGACCUUGGUCUCUACUAUUGCUCAAGGGUAGAGAAGACGACGAUGGAAGAGGAGGGAAAAAUCUCAGAGAAAGAUUGGUACCACACUGGGGAUACUGUCAUAAAUCUCACAUACGGUUCACCUGAAAGCCCCCCUGAGCUUGUGUGUGACUCAGAAAGCCCUCCUGUCUGUGACUGCUGGCAGUGCUGGCUGAUACUUCAAACAGUGUGUCCUGCGUCUUCUCUUCUGUCUGCCAUUUUGGCUUUUGUUUGUGGCUACAGCUGCUGCCACAAGACAGUUCUGAAGGACAGUUCUGAAGGUCAUCAAAGCAGCUCUGAGAUGCAAAGACGGUUGAGCCAAGAAGAGGAUGUCCAUAGAGAAGUUUGUUAUGCAUCACUGAACAUCCCCAAACGAGGAAACCAACGGACAAAGAGCAACCGAUUACCAAAUUCUGACUUCAGUGUGUACAACAGUGUAAAAAUGCACACUUAGGUAAAGGAUAAUGUACAGUCAGCUGGACAUACAGUCAACUCCAGAAUUAUUGGCACUCUUGUUAAAUAUGAUAGAACGGGGCUAGUGUUUGAAAAUGAAAAGGAAAAUAAAUGCUUUAACGUAAGUUGAAGAAGUCAUUUAAAUAAUUUAAUAUUUAGAAAGAUAAAUGUUAAUUAAUAACUUGAUUAUAAAUCACUGAAAAGAUAUGUAUUGAAGCGGCAGUGGAUUCCAGAAUCCAACCCUCCAGAAUCUCUCCAGAUCCUUCAGAUUCCCAGCUCCAUGUUGGUGCCUCUCCUCUUCAGUUCACCCCACUCAUUUUCUAUAGGGAUCAGGUCAGGUAACAGCCAUGACAGAAGCUUCAUUUUGUGCUCAGUGACCCAUUUUUGUGUUGGUUUUGAUGUUUGUUUUGGAUCAUUGUCCUGAUGGAAGAUCCAAACAUGGCCCAUUAUAGGAUUUCUAGCAGAAGCGGUCAGGUUUUGAUUUUUUUAUCAUUUGGUAUUCACUAGAAUCCAUGAUACCAUGUAUCUGAACAAGAUGUCCUCCAGCAAAAAAAAAAAAAAAUAGGCCCACAACAUUAAAGCAGUAUAUUUAACUGUGGACAAGAGGGUACUUUUUUUUAUCCCUGCAUGCACUAAACCCAUCUGGUGGGUUUGCUGCCAACAAGCUCUUUUUUUUAGUUUCAUCUGACCAUAGAAGCCGGGUUCCGUUUAAAGUUCCAGUCGCGUUUGACAACGGAAUAUGCUGGACUUUGUUUUUGAAUGAGUAAGGAGGAUUUUUCUUGAAAGCCUCCUGAACAACUUGUGGUGAUGUAGGUGCUGUCUGAUAAUUUUUUUUAGGUUUUCUGACCCAGAGAGUCAACUAAUCUGUGCAAUUCUCCAGCUGUGAUCCUUGGAGAGUCUUUGGCCACUCAAACUCUCCUCCUCACCGUGCAUUAGGACGAUAUAGACACACGUCCUCUUCCAGGCAGAUUUGUAGCAUCUUUAGUUGAUUGGAACUUCUUAAUUAUUGCCCUAAUGGUGGAAAUGGGGAUUUUCGAUGCUUUAGCUAUUUUCUUACAGCCAAUUUUGUGAAGUUUUGCUGCACAUCAGAACUAUAUUCUGUUUUACUCAUUGUGAUGAAUGAUUAAGGGAAUUUGGCCUUUGUGUUUCCUCAUGUUUAUACUCCUGUAGAACAAGAAGUCAAUGCUGGACAGUUUCAUACUCCUAGUCAGCCUGGUGUGCUAAAACAACAUAAAUAUGAAUGGGAAUAUACUUCAGAGAUAUUUUACUCAUAAAAAUUUCUAGGGGUGCCAAUAAUUGUGGCCAACAAGCAAAAACAUUUAUUUCAUAUUGUGAGUUUCCGCCACUCUCAAUUGUUUUACUUCAGUGAUAGGUUAGAAUUUUGUGAAUUUUUUGAAUGAAAGAACAAAAUGAUAAACAACAUGAUAAACAAUGCAUAUUUAUUUUCACUUUGCUCAUAUUUACCAAGGGUGCCAAUAAUUCUGGAGUUGACUGUAUAGCUAAAUAAACCCAAAGUUUAGUCCAAAAAAAAAAAAAAAACCCAACUAUAAUUUAUCCUCACUUUUAUGGUUACCCAACAAAUAAAUAAACGAGUAGAUAGGAAAUAUUGGUUUUGAUAAAAUAUUGACAUUGAUAAAAUUAUUUUGUUAUAUAUGAGAAAUAAACUAUGGAGCGAUAGGAGAGAUAACAUAUAGGCUACAGUUUAGAACAUAAACCUGGGUGAAAUUAAAAGACAGCGAUGUUUAUGUAUACAUUUUGUUUAUCCAUUAUACAUGAUUAAAUACAAGUGCUACAAACGAAUACAAUCAUUUUCAUUAGUGCAGUUUAAAUGAUGACCAAUACCUAAUAACCAUAUACAGGCAGCUGUAGCGUUUGUUUAUUGUAAGCAAGCAAAAGUUGACCAGCCACAUUUCCAUCAAACCUGCACUAAUCAGCAAAAAAAAAAAAAAAAGGCUUAAAAAGCAUUUACGGAAAAUCAAGCGGAAAACAUAAGACAUCUUUGUUUUUGCAAGUAGUCAACCUUCAGAUGCAUGCAACUUGCAGACCCCAUUUCACUGACCCCAUUUCAGCUGCUUAUCUCCUAAUCAGAUUUACAGCUUCAAAUGUUUCCAUCACAAUGCUUUUGGGGGUCAACGAAUGUGAACGAAAUUGUGCGACAAAACUGAUAUUCUUUACAAGGUUUGUAUAAAGCACAUCCACCUAACAUUAAAAAACAAAACAAAAAAAUAAUAAUAAUAUAUUUUUACUGGUAAGAGUUCAUUUUAGAGUUCUUCAUAGCUUGAAGCUAAUUAUAUUCAAUGUUAAUUACAUUACACAUACACAAGAACUGCCACAUACACAAUCAACAAAACUGACAAAAACAACUUUAAAAAACAAAUUAUGACAAAUGAAUGUAAAAGUCAAUUAUAGAAAGAUUUAUUGCUUGUAAUGAUUUAAAAGGAGGAAAUAGCAUUGACUCCACAUCCUAUAACAGCACCAAACAUUCAGAACAUGAAGUCUGGAUCAUUUCAUGGAUCAUUUCACACAGUAAAUAUAAAAUAUUUCUUGUUACUGUUACUAGUUUGUAUUAAUCACUUUAGUAAGAUGAUGAAUGUAAAUAUAGUGACCAGAUAAAGAUCCUCUGUAUGAGCUGAAUCUCAAAACAUGUAAAAAAUAAACCAGAAUUGUUUUCCAUA